rnacentral:rRNA from 1 species
UACGUAGGGUGCAAGCGUUGUCCGGAAUUAUUGGGCGUAAAGAGCUCGUAGGUGGUUUGUCGCGUUGUUCGUGAAAACUCACAACUCAAUUGUGGGCGUGCGGGCGAUACGGGCAGACUGGAGUACUGCAGGGGAGACUGGAAUUCCUGGUGUAGCGGUGAAAUGCGCAGAUAUCAGGAGGAACACCAAUUGCGAAGGCAGCUCGCUGGGACGUUACUGACGCUGAGACGCGAAAGCGUGGGGAGCAAACAGG